rnacentral:tRNA from 1 species
UGGGCUGUAGCUCAAUGGUAGAGUGCAUACCUAGCAUGCAUGGGGUCCUGGGUUCAAUCUCUAGUAUCUCCA